UCCUGGCAGAGGUUACUGCUAUCGAGGUUCGACUAAGCCAUGCGAGUCGAAUGUAGCAAUACAUGGCGUACUGCUCAGUAACACGUGGACAACCUACCCUGAGGUCGGGGAUAAACCCGGGAAACUGGGUAUAAUACCCGAUAGAUCUAGAUUGCUGGAAUGCUUUUAGGUCUAAAGUUCCGACGCCUCAGGAUGGGUCUGCGGCCUAUCAGGGUAGUAGUGGGUGUAAAGUACCUACUAGCCUACGACGGGUACGGGUUGUGAGAGCAAGAGCCCGGAGAUGGAUUCUGAGACACGAAUCCAGGCCCUACGGGGUGCAGCAGGCGCGAAACCUUUACAAUGCUGGCAACAGCGAUAAGGGGACCUCGAGUGCUACGAUACAAUCGUGGCUGUCUAGUUGCCUAAAAAGCAAUUGAUAGCAAGGGCCGGGCAAGACCGGUGCCAGCCGCCGCGGUAACACCGGCGGCUCGAGUGGUAACCGCUAUUAUUGGGUCUAAAGGGUCUGUAGCCGGCUUAGUUAGUCUCUUGAGAAAUCUGGCCGCUCAACGGUCAGGCGUUCAGGGGAUACUGCUAAAGCUCGAGACCGGGAGAGGUGAGAGGUACUUCAGGGGUAGGGGUGAAAUCUUGUAAUCCUUGAAGGACCACCAGUGGCGAAGGCGUCUCACCAGAACGGAUCUGACGGCAAGGGACGAAAGCUAGGGGCACGAACCGGAUUAGAUACCCGGGUAGUCCUAGCCGUAAACGAUACUCGCUAGGUGUCGGCCACGGUGCGACCGUGGUCGGUGCCGUAGGGAAGCCGUGAAGCGAGCCACCUGGGAAGUACGGCCGCAAGGCUGAAACUUAAAGGAAUUGGCGGGGGAGCACUACAACGGGUGGAGCUUGCGGUUUAAUUGGAUUCAACGCCGGAAAUCUUACCGGGGCCGACAGCGAUAUGAAGGCCAGGCUAAGGACCUUGCCUGAUUAGCUGAGAGGUGGUGCAUGGCCGUCGUCAGUUCGUACUGUGAAGCAUCCUGUUAAGUCAGGCAACGAGCGAGACCCA
rnacentral:rRNA from 1 species